GACGAACGCUGGUGGCGUGCUUAACACAUGCAAGUCGAACGGGAUUUAGUAAACAGAAGCCUCGGUGGAAGAUUACUAAUGAGAGUGGCGAACGGGUGAGUAACGCGUGAGCAACCUGCCUAUGACAGUGGGAUAGCCUCGGGAAACCGGGAUUAAUACCGCAUAAAAUCGUAGAAACACAUGUUUUAACGGUCAAAGAUUUAUCGGUCAUAGAUGGGCUCGCGUCUGAUUAGCUAGUUGGUGAGAUAACAGCCCACCAAGACGACGAUCAGUAGCCGGUCGGAGAGGAGGAACGGCCGCAUUGGAACUGGGACACGAUCCAAACUCCUACGGGAGGCAGCAGUGGGGAAUAUUGCACAAUGGGGGAAACCCUGAUGCAGCGACGCCGCGUGAACGAAGAAGGUAUUCGUAUCGUAAAGUUCUGGCCUAGGGGAAGAUAAUGACAGUACCAUAGAAGAAAGCUCCGGCUAAAUACGU
rnacentral:rRNA from 1 species